AUAAUAAUAAUAAUAAUAAUAAGUCACUGUUUGUUAAGGUAGUUAUAGACAGUACAGCAACAAUAAUAAUAAUAAUAAUAAUAAUAAUAAUAAGUCACUGUUUGUUAAGGUAGUUAUAGACAGUACAGCAACAAUAAUAAUAAUAAUAAUAAUAAGUCACUGUUUGUUAAGGUAGUUCUAGACAGUACAUAAACACAAGGCCAUGUCUCACAAUUAUUUUUAUUCAUUAAAAAUUGCUAUUUAUUGUCUUUCUAAAUGUAUCUGAGAAUGUAGACAGAAGGGCUAAAACAGACAUGAAUGAUCUGAGGAGAAAAUCAUUGAUCCAUUCAGAAAGUUUAUUUGCAACAAGUAGGAUAUUUUAUAUUUUGUAAAGUAGACUAGGUUAUAAUGUAUAGUAGUGGGUUGUUGGUGAUAUUUUAUAUUAUGUAAAGUAGACUAGGUUAUAAUGUAUAGUAGUGGGUUGUUAGUGAUAUGUUAUAUUAUGUAAAGUAGACUAGGUUAUAAUGUAUAGUAGUGGGUUGUUAGUGAUAUGUUAUAUUAUGUAAAGUACACUAGGUUAUAAUGUAUAGUAGUCGGUUGUUAGUGAUAUGUUAUAUUAUGUAAAGUAGACUAGGUUAUAAUGUAUAGUAGUGGGUUGUUAGUGAUAUGUUAUAUUAUGUAAAGUAGACUAGGUUAUAAUGUAUAGUAGUGGGUUGUUAGUGAUAUGUUAUAUUAUGUAAAGUAGACUAGGUUAUAAUGUAUAGUCGUGGGUUGUUAGUGAUAUGUAGAUGUUAUAUUAUGUAAAGUAGACUAGGUUAUAAUGUAUAGUCGUGGGUUGUUAGUGAUAUGUAGAUGUUAUAUUAUGUAAAGUAGACUAGGUUAUAAUGUAUAGUAGUGGGUUGUUAGUGAUAUGUUAUAUUAUGUAAAGUACACUAGGUUAUAAUGUAUAGUAGUGGGUUGUUAGUGAUAUGUUAUAUUAUGUAAAGUAGACUAGGUUAUAAUGUAUAGUAGCAGGUUGUUAGUGAUAUGCAGAUCGAGGUCUAUACCUCGGCUAUAACCUACAUAUCAUAGAUGACCAGUCUAAACCUGUUCAGAUCAGUUCACAUAAUGUUAUAGUCCUUCCAGUAGCAGGACAGAGAAUGUACUGUAUAUAACCUACAUAUCAUAGAUGACCAGUCUAAACCUGUUCAGAUCAGUUCACAUAAUGUUAUAGUCCUUCCAGUAGCAGGACAGAGAAUGUACUGUAUAUAACCUACAUAUCAUAGAU